GGUGGGAUGGCAGAGUGGCCGAAUGCGGCGGUUUUGAAAACCGCUUUGCCCGCGAGGGCAACGGGGGUUCGAAUCCCUCUCCCACCGCCA
rnacentral:tRNA from 1 species